rnacentral:rRNA from 1 species
GGAAGGGGUGUAUUUAUUAGAUAAAAAACCAAUCGUAGCAAUACGUUAACUGGUGAAUCAUGAUAACUAUUCGAAUCGCAUAGCUUCGGCUGGCGAUGGUUCAUUCAAAUUUCUGCCCUAUCAACUUUCGAUGGUAGUAUAGAGGACUACCAUGGUUUUAACGGGUAACGGAGAAUUAGGGUUCGAUUCCGGAGAGGGAGCCUGAGAAACGGCUACCACAUCCAAGGAAGGCAGCAGGCGCGCAAAUUACCCAAUCCCGACACGGGGAGGUAGUGACAAUAAAUAACAAUACAGAGCUUUUUAAGUUUUGUAAUUGUAAUGAGUACAAUUUAAACCUCUUAACGAGAACCAAUUGGAGGGCAAGUCUGGUGCCAGCAGCCGCGGUAAUUCCAGCUCCAAUAGCGUAUAUUAAAGUUGUUGCAGUUAAAACGCUCGUAGUUGAACUUCAGACCUGGCCGGGCGGUCCGCUUAACGGCGUGUACUGUCUGGCUGGGCCUUACCUCUUGGUGAGCCGGCGUGCCCUUUAUUGGCGUGCGUCGGGGAACCAGGACUUUUAC